rnacentral:tRNA from 1 species
GGAGAGAUGGCCGAGUCGGUCGAAGGCGGUCGCCUGCUAAGCGAUUAAGUGGGUAAAAGCCUGCUUCGAGGGUUCGAAUCCCUCUCUCUCCGCCA